AUACAAUCUGGGGAAUUCAAGAUAAUGAAGGACGAUGGAGGAAUUCCUUUCAAGAAAUUGCAAAGGUAGCAGUCGACUACUUCCACUCUGUCUACUCUUCCACGAAACCGGACAACUUUGGAAAUGUCACAGAUGGUUUUCUGCCAAGAGUAUCUCAAGAAAUGAAUUCUCAACUGAUAGCACCUAUUUCUAAUAAAGAGAUCAGGAAAGCUACUUUCUUAAUGCACCCCACUAAAGCUCCAGGAGAAGAUGGUCUUAUCGGCUUAUUUUUUUAAAAGUACUGGACAAUCAUUGGGGAUGACAUCUGUAAGGCAAUAUCAGAAUUCUUUGAGCAUGGCAGAUUGCUAAGAAGUAUCAAUCACACUCUCCUCACGCUCAUUCCGAAAUCCAAGCAAGUACAAACAAUGAAAGAUCUUAGUCCAAUUGGGCUGUGCAAUGUCAUUUACAAGAUCAUCUCGAAGAUCCUCACUAGACGCCUGCAGCCUUUUUAUGGAUUCCUUGAUUGGGAUGAGGCAAAGUGCCUUCAUAAAAGGAAGAUUAAUUUCAGAUAACAUCUUGGUAUACCAUGAAAUCAUGCACCACCUUAACAAUCGCAGAUCAGGAAGGAAUUAUGGCAUGGCCUUGAAGCUUGAUAUAAGCAAAG
rnacentral:misc_RNA from 1 species